rnacentral:rRNA from 1 species
GAGUUUGAUCAUGGCUCAGGACGAACGCUGGCGGCACGCCUAACACAUGCAAGUCGAACGGAGAUAUUUUGGUUUACUGAGAUAUCUUAGUGGCGGACGGGUGAGUAACACGUGAGCAACCUGCCUCUGAGAGAGGGAUAGCUUCUGGAAACGGAUGGUAAUACCUCAUAACAUAACGAAGCCGCAUGACUUUGUUAUCAAAGAUUUAUCACUCAGAGAUGGGCUCGCGUCUGAUUAGAUAGUUGGUGAGGUAACGGCUCACCAAGUCGACGAUCAGUAGCCGGACUGAGAGGUUGAACGGCCACAUUGGGACUGAGACACGGCCCAGACUCCUACGGGAGGCAGCAGUGGGGAAUAUUGCACAAUGGGGGAAACCCUGAUGCAGCGAUGCCGCGUGGAAGAAGAAGGUUUUCGGAUUGUAAACUCCUGUCUAAAGGACGAUAAUGACGGUACUAGGAGAGUUUGGCG